CUUUAUUGGAGAGUUUGAUCCUGGCUCAGGAUGAACGCUGGCGGCGUGCCUAAUACAUGCAAGUCGAGCGAAUGGAUUAAGAGCUUGCUCUUAUGAAGUUAGCGGCGGACGGGUGAGUAACACGUGGGUAACCUGCCCAUAAGACU
rnacentral:rRNA from 2 species